GUGAUAGAGUUUGAUCCUGGCUCAGAACGAACGCUGGCGGCAUGCCUAACACAUGCAAGUCGAACGAGACCUUCGGGUCUAGUGGCGCACGGGUGCGUAACGCGUGGGAAUCUGCCCUUAGGUUCGGAAUAACUCAGGGAAACUUGAGCUAAUACCGGAUGAUGACGUAAGUCCAAAGAUUUAUCGCCUAAGGAUGAGCCCGCGUAAGAUUAGCUAGUUGGUGAGGUAAAGGCUCACCAAGGCUACGAUCUUUAGCUGGUCUGAGAGGAUGAUCAGCCACACUGGGACUGAGACACGGCCCAGACUCCUACGGGAGGCAGCAGUGGGGAAUAUUGGACAAUGGGCGAAAGCCUGAUCCAGCAAUGCCGCGUGAGUGAUGAAGGCCUUAGGGUUGUAAAGCUCUUUUACCCGGGAUGAUAAUGACAGUACCGGGAGAAUAAGCUCCGG
rnacentral:rRNA from 1 species